rnacentral:misc_RNA from 1 species
GGCUGGGGCAAAAAAAAAAAAAUGAAUGCAACAACACAACUCUAUGACACGUGUUUGCUACAACAAAUUCAUUGGCCUAUGAGACUCAAAAUCUAGGUAUUCUCCAUUUGCUUGCCCAUACCCAUACAUGUCAAAAUGUUUGUCUUCCAAAUUCAUAUUCCCGAUUUCUCGUCCUCUAAAUCCCUCCGUUGGGGAAGCCCAUGGAGCAGGAGUUGAAGGGUUAGAGCUAGAACCCUCUUGGUUUAAACUGAUGGUGCUUGGAUUCUGCGGAGAAUUUCCAGCUGCCCUCCUGUUGGAAGAAUUGGCCGUCGUUAGAGAAAUG